CGCCGAUUUAAAUGUUUUAUGGAUUUUCUAGUUUUCUCGAUAAUAUUUGCAUUUUCCUAGAGAUAAAUAUAUUUUUGAAGCAUCCAGAGAUGCUUUCAUGAGCUCUAAAUAUUUUAUUUUGGUUUGAUAUAUCGCAUCUAUCUUUAGUUUUUUUUAUCAUUUUUAAAGUAUUAGAGAUAUUUUAUGUGUUUUUUUUUACCUUAUCAAGUUUUUACCAAUAUUUAUCAAAAAAAGAUGAAUCCACCUCAAAAACCAAUCCAAACCAACUAGGGAUGUAGUCUGAAUAAUUUGGAGAGUUCAAAGGAUAAAUAUCUAGUUUUCAAGUUUGAUGAGGAAAGUCAAACUACGACAAUAUUUAUGGAAGGUACUCCUUCCAUCCUAAAUUAUAAGC
rnacentral:lncRNA from 1 species